rnacentral:snRNA from 1 species
GUCUCUUCGGGGACAUCCGGUAAAAUUGGAACGAUACAGACAAGAUUAGCAGGGCCACUGCGGAAGGAUGACACGCACAAAUCAAGAAAUGGUCCAAAUUUUU